UACAGGUAUUUCUGAUCCCAGGACAGAUCUUUCUCCACUUCAUCAUUAAACACAGGAUAAACAAUCCUUAAGCGCUAAGUUGAAUUAUGACUAAAUUGGAUACUACAGUACUUGUCUAUAACCUCACACAUGUUACAGCAAACCUUAUAAGAGAAUAAAAUUUACUUACCAGCAUCAAAAUCAAUUUUCCCCCACUCUAAUCAAGACGUGCGGCGUCUCAGAAUGACUGCUUAUGGGUGACUGAGGAAGCACGUGGUGAUCCUGCGGUGUGAACUGCUGAACGGAAACUCAUUUAAGGAAAUUUAAGGGGGAAAGGCUUGGUGCCCAGCUAUGUGAACUACAUAAGGCUGGCUUCUAAACUGAGCUGUGGAGACUAUAAGGAUAUGAAGUUAUGACAGCUUGAAUGAAAGCUGUUGUUUACUCAGCUUAGAGUCUAUAACUUCUUUCAUUAUAUAACAUGAAUUUGUUAAUUUAAGUGGAAUAAGAAAGUAAAAUGUAUUAAAGAGAUAGAUGGUUUCAGGAAAGUUGAUUGCAGAAUUAUAAAGGGAAACAUAAAACUGAAAUGUUAGACUUGGAUAUAACUAAGGAGAGUUGUUUUCUGUCUUCUGUCUCUGUAAUCUGAUUGAAUAAAUAGAUGCUAAAAGUUCACUUGUACAAUAAGGACUCAGAUGAAAGGUUGUAUGAAAAUGGUUAGGUUUGUGUAAAUCUGAAGUAUACUGUAAUGCUUCUGUCACAUCUAUGACUACAAUCUAGUCACUUAAUGUACUUACUCAUAAAGGUCUCAUAAUGAUAUUAAAAACACUAAGUCACUUU